UACGUAGGUGGCAAGCGUUGUCCGGAAUUAUUGGGCGUAAAGCGCGCGCAGGCGGUCCUUUAAGUCUGAUGUGAAAGCCCACGGCUCAACCGUGGAGGGUCAUUGGAAACUGGGGGACUUGAGUACUGAAGAGGAAAGCGGAAUUCCACGUGUAGCGGUGAAAUGCGUAGAGAUGUGGAGGAACACCAGUGGCGAAGGCGGCUUUCUGGUCUGUAACUGACGCUGAGGCGCGAAAGCGUGGGGAGCAAACAGG
rnacentral:rRNA from 1 species